UCCCAGACUUUUGCUUCUGCCCUGCCACCAGCUGCAGCUGGCUCGCCUCAAACCCUCUCCACUCCUGCAGCCACCGAGGAACUCGGCCACACCUCAGCUCUGAGAAGAGAGCAGUGCCAGUCAGCUGUCUGUAAGACUGCACAAGGCUCCUUGGCUUUGAGGAUGAGUUUUUUCCGAUGUUACGUUUUAAAAGCAGAAACAUCUAAAGAGGAUGCUAGCGUGAGCCAGACAGACAACCGGGUUCCGGUGGGACAGAAAGAGCACCUUGUGACUUUGGCCCACGGCUCCCGUCACGGAGGUUCCUGGACAAGACUAGGCAGGGCACCAGAGACAACAGAGAAGCCAGUGGAAGGCUGAGCCCCAAGCCAGCAAGCCCCACCCUCCAACCUGCUGGCACCUCCUCCUCACAGAGCCCUUUUCUCUGUUACAGGGAAUUGCCACAUGAUCAAUUCAUUUUCAACAACAAUAACAACAGUCUUCAUUCUCUUCAGGAAAUAAAAGCUCUUCUACUUACAACUACAAGAUCUAGAAGACAAAUUCUUAUGGUCAUAUAUAAUGGAAAAAUAACAGCUGCAGCAGCUGUUGCCAGUCAAGAAAAACACUUCACUGUUUCCACAAAGACAAGAAGCCAAAUAUGUAUUAUUUAAAUAUAACUGGAGUAGAUCUUCAAAGAGUAGGCUGAACCCCACUUCCUAGCUCUUUUCUGAUCAGCCAGACUAUGGAGAACAGAAGCUCCUUGUACGGAAUGCUCUCCAAAGCUCCUUCUGGUCUACCCCUCUCUGAAUCUCUGACUUCAGUUGCUUCUCUGCUGCUUCUCCAAGGAUUGUGACAGAAGUUUCAAAAGGUUGCCAAGGCACCUCCUGCUGUAGGCAAAUGUCCUUACCCUCAGCCUGAUGGUUUUUACGCUACCCUCGCUUACCGUUGUGUUGUGGACUUAGGGCUUGAGAACACAGGGAGGAUGAAUUUCUAGGAAACCAAGAAUCAGGUCAGCAAAGUGUGCCAUAGCCCUUCCCCGGGGGCCCAGAGGAGAAGCUCUGAGUUCAGCGUUUCUGCUGUGACUUCAUGUGUUCUCACCAGCUUAGGUGGGUCUCUUUUUGGUAUCACUCUGUCCUGCUUUGUUUUAUAGAGAUGCCUUUGCUUUCAUUUCUUGUUUACAUGUCAAUUAGACAUUUCGACUUGGCUCGUUUGCCACGGCUGCUUCUUCAUCGUGGUUCCCAGCUAUCCC